rnacentral:rRNA from 1 species
AUUGAACGCUUGCUGCAGGCCUAACACAUGCAAGUCGAACGAGUGGCGGACGGGUGAGUAAUGUCUGGGAAACUGCCUGAUAGAGGGGGAUAACUACUGGAACCGGUAGCUAAUACCGCAUACCAUCGGAUGUGCCCAGAUGGGAUUAGCUAGUAGGUGGGGUAAAGGCUCACCUAGGCGACGAUCCCUAGCUGGUCUGAGCGGAUGACAAGCUACACUGGAACUGAGACACGGUCCAGACUCCUACGGGAGGCAGCAGUGGGUAAUAUUGCACAAUGGGCGAAAGCCAUAUGCAGCCAUGCCGCGUGUAGGAAGAAGGCCUGCGUGUUGGAAAGUACGUUCAGCGGGGAGGCGUUACCCGGAGAAGAAGCACAGUCUAACUCUGUGCCAGCAGCCGCGGUAAUUC